GCCUGGAGGAGACCCGGCCCUGCCUGCACGUCCUGCCCUGCCCCCCCGACGAGGAAUGAGGCUCCCGGUGACCUCGUGGGACGCUCCUCGGACCCCAAACUCGCCUGGAUUUCGCCCGAAACGCGCUUGGCUCCUCCCCCCGACCGCUCCCCCGAAUAAAGACCCGGCACU